AGGACGAACGCUGGCGGCGUGCCUAACACAUGCAAGUCGAGCGGAGUCAGUAAGAGGAAGUUUCGGAUGGAAUCUUAUUGAUUCAGCGGCGGACGGGUGAGUAACGCGUGAGCGACCAACCUUGCACAGGGGGAUAACGGACCGAAAGGUUCACUAAUACCGCAUGAGACCACGGUGUUGCAUGACACAGAGGUCAAAGGGGGAAUCCGGUGCAAGACGGGCUCGCGUCCGAUUAGGUAGUUGGAGGGGUAACGGCCCACCAAGCCUAUGAUCGGUAGCCGACCUGAGAGGGUGAUCGGCCACAUUGGAACUGAGAUACGGUCCAAACUCCUACGGGAGGCAGCAGUGGGGAAUAUUGGGCAAUGGGGGGAAACCCUGACCCAGCAACGCCGCGUGAAGGAAGAAGGUUUUCGGAUUGUAAACUUCUGUCCUUGGUGAAGAGAAGAAGACGGUAGCCAAGGAGGAAGCCCCGGCUAACUACGUGCCAGCCGCAGC
rnacentral:rRNA from 1 species